GAUGAACGCUGGCGGCGUGCCUAAUACAUGCAAGUAGAACGCUGAAGGAGGAGCUUGCUCUUCUGGAUGAGUUGCGAACGGGUGAGUAACGCGUAGGUAACCUGCCUGGUAGCGGGGGAUAACUAUUGGAAACGAUAGCUAAUACCGCAUGACAACAGUUAUUGCAUGAUAACUGUUUAAAAGGGGCAACUGCUCCACUACCAGAUGGACCUGCGUUGUAUUAGCUAGUUGGUGAGGUAACGGCUCACCAAGGCGACGAUACAUAGCCGACCUGGGAGGGGGGUCCGCCCACCUGGGACUGAGACCCCGCCCCGGCUCCCUCGGGGGGCAAGCGUAGGGGAUCUUUGGCCAUGGGCGGAAGGCUUACCCAGCAACGCCGCGUGGGUGGAGGAGGGUUUCGGGUCGGAAAGCUCUGUUGUAAGGGAAGAACGAGUGGGAGGGUGGAAAGUUCACGCUGUGACGGUACCUUACCAGAAAGCGCCGGCUAACUACGUG
rnacentral:rRNA from 1 species